GUUAAGGUGGCAGAACCCGGCUACUGCAGAAGGUCUAAGCCCUUCGCAUAGAGGUUCAAAUCCUCUCCCUAACU
rnacentral:tRNA from 1 species